rnacentral:rRNA from 1 species
CCUACGGGAGGCAGCAGUGGGGAAUUUUGGACAAUGGACGCAAGUCUGAUCCAGCCAUGCCGCGUGUGGGAAGAAGGCCUUCGGGUUGUAAACCACUUUUGUCAGGGAAGAAACGGCUCGGGUUAAUACCUUGGGCUAAUGACGGUACCUGAAGAAUAAGCACCGGCUAACUACGUGCCAGCAGCCGCGGUAAUACGUAGGGUGCAAGCGUUAAUCGGAAUUACUGGGCGUAAAGCGUGCGCAGGCGGUUAUGCAAGACAGAUGUGAAAUCCCCGGGCUCAACCUGGGAACUGCAUUUGUGACUGCAUGGCUAGAGUACGGUAGAGGGGGAUGGAAUUCCGCGUGUAGCAGUGAAAUGCGUAGAUAUGCGGAGGAACACCGAUGGCGAAGGCAAUCCCCUGGACCUGUACUGACGCUCAUGCACGAAAGCGUGGGGAGCAAACAGGAUUAGAUACCCUGGUAUCCACGCCCUAAACGAUGUACACUGGUUGUGGGUAGGUUUCUUCUCAGUAACGUAGCUAACGCGUGAGUUCGACCGCGUGGGGAGGACGGCCGCGUAAGGUAGUAACGUUACGAAAGUAAGUUAGUUAGGCGAGAGACGNGCGACGGACGACGACGAGGGAGGAGG